UACGGAGGGUGCGAGCGUUGUCCGGAAUCACUGGGCGUAAAGGGCGCGUAGGUGGCUUUUCAAGCGCGCGGUGAAAGCCCGGGGCUCAACCCCGGGUCGGCCGUGCGGACUGGGAGGCUCGAGCACUGUAGAGGCGUGUGGAAUUCCGGGUGUAGUGGUGAAAUGCGUAGAGAUCCGGAGGAACACCAGUGGCGAAGGCAGGUGACUGGGCCUUUACUGACGCUAAGACGCGAAAGCUAGGGGAGCAAACAGG
rnacentral:rRNA from 1 species